AUACCUUUCUCGGCCUUUUGGCUAAGAUCAAGUGUAGUAUCUGUUCUUAUCAGUUUAAUAUCUGAUAUGUGGGCCAUGUGCCCACAACGAUAUUAAAUUUAUUUUUCGUGGGGGAAGGCCCGCCACGGUAGCUUGCUGCCGGGGCCUUCAUGUGUCGCUUGGGCUUUGCACUACCGCCCAGGCCUGGCGCACCCCAA
rnacentral:snRNA from 1 species